rnacentral:rRNA from 1 species
GAUGAACGCUAGCGGCAGGCCUAAUACAUGCAAGUCGAACGAUAUUACGGGGCUUGCUGCUUAAGAAAGUGGCGCACGGGUGCGUAACGCGUAUGCAACCUACCUUAAUCAGGGGGAUAGCCCGAAGAAAUUCGGAUUAACACCGCAUAAAAACACAGGAUAGCAUUAUCCAAUGUUCAAAUAUUUAUAGGAUUAAGAUGGGCAUGCGUGUCAUUAGCUAGUUGGCGGGGUAACGGCCCACCAAGGCGACGAUGAGUAGGGGAUCUGAGGGGAUGACCCCCCACACUGGUACUGAGACACGGACCAGACUCCUACGGGAGGCAGCAGUAAGGAAUAUUGGUCAAUGGAGGCAACUCUGAACCAGCCAUGCCGCGUGCAGGAAGACUGCCCUAUGGGUUGUAAACUGCUUUUAUCCGGGAAUAAACCUUUCUACGUGUAGGAAGCUGAAUGUACCGGAAGAAUAAGGAUCGGCUAACUCCGUGCCAGCCGCCGCGGUAACAC